rnacentral:tRNA from 1 species
AGGGGGGUAGCUAAAGUUAUAUACAAACUAAAUACGACUAUAUAGUUACUGCAAUAUUGAGACUCAAACUUAUUCCACCUACUUAUAAAAACUCUAGUCAUAGUAAUGAAAUAUUGAUUAAUCUCAAUAAAAUUACGGAGUGCUUUGAGAGCACUAGGUCGCAGGUUCGAAUCCUGUCGCCCCUACCA